GGCAAGGUGGCCGAGUGGUUAAGGCGCUGUGUUUAGGAAUCAAGUGCUAAGCACAGAUAUAUCCAUCCGCAGUGGGAAACCUCGCGAGUUCGAAUCUCGUCCUUGUCA